GAGUUUUGCCUGUUGUGGUCACUUCAUCUCAUCUGAUCUCAGAAGCUAAGAAGGGACAAAUUUGGUCAGUAUUUGGAAGAGACAUCACUAGGGAAUAGCAUGUGCUAUACAUU
rnacentral:rRNA from 1 species